AUUGAACGCUGGCGGCAUGCUUUACACACGCAAGUCGAACGGUAACAGGUUAAGCUGACGAGUGGCGAACGGGUGAGUAAUGCAUCGGAACGUGCCCGAUCGUGGGGGAUAACGCAGCGAAAGCUGCGCUAAUACCGCAUACGAUCUGAGGAUGAAAGCGGGGGACCGUAAGGCCUCGCGCGAUCGGAGCGGCCGAUGUCAGAUUAGGUAGUUGGUGGGGGAAAGGCUGACCAAGCCAACGAUCUGUAGCUGGUCUGAGAGGACGACCAGCCACACUGGGACUGAGACACGGCCCAGACUCCUACGGGAGGCAGCAGUGGGGAAUUUUGGACAAUGGGCGAAAGCCUGAUCCAGCAAUGCCGCGUGCAGGAAGAAGGCCUUCGGGUUGUAAACUGCUUUUGUACGGAGCGAAAAGGCCCUCUCUAAUACAGGGGGUUUAUGACGGUACCGUAAGAAUAAGCACCGGCUAACUACGUGCCAGCCGCCGCCGUAA
rnacentral:rRNA from 1 species